CUCUGUAAUGACCAGCAGGGGGAGACUGCUGUGGUUCCAAAAUGAUUGUGCAGAAAGUCGUGAGAAAAUGAGGCCAGUGCUCAGUUGACGUGUGACCUCAAUGUGCACUUCUCCAAUAGGAGAGUCUUACUUAAUACAGCAGCAUUUUUUUGUAAGCUACAUUCCCUUUUAGAGUAAAACAGAAGCUAAAAGCGUGAGUAUGCAGUGUCCUGCAGCUUAUUUCUGCUAGCUGCUCUUCCUUUCUUGCUUAUGACUUCUGGUGUCACGGUUUGCGGUGGCAGACGAUGGAGUAGCAGAGAAGGAGGACUCGAAAGCAAGACUUUUAAGGUGACAGUGGAUUUAUUUACAGAAGUGCCCAAUGAAUCAGUCUUUACAAGUCCCAUGCACUGUGGGUGUGCCUGGUAACGCACCGCUCCGCUCCCGAUACCUAGUGAAGACAGAACACACUUACUGGUGACUACACUGUCCUUCCUUUUAGCAAAAGCUUUUCCAACUAGCAGGCCACAGCUAUACUGACGAGUCUGACACAAUAAUCCCACGCUGACCAGAGCUCGGCCACACCCUUAAGUAGAGUGCUCCUGAUGAGGCCAUCAGCUGCAGCUGGUGACGGCUGACGAGCGGCAGGUGUGGCAGCCUCCAGUGUGGAACACUUCCGGGGUCGCGCAAAUGAACAAAAACACACACAGCGAGACAGAGAAAAAGGGAGCGAGAACAAAAUACUAAACGUGAAAAAUAAACCUAUUAAUAAAGACCUCCCAGACAGGAUGACCCGCGAGGAUCACCAGCCUGAGUACAGGAGCUCAGAGAUUUCCAGAUUACAGAGGAGACAACUUGAAAAGAUGAAACUUUCUGAAGAAAAAUAGUCCUGUGUUUGGAUCCACAUCCUGCCUGUGACACAGCACACAGCAUGACAAAAAUAAAGUUUUCUAAAAAAGUUUUGGCCUUCUAGGGCUACUACAACAAUGACGAGUUAGACUAGAGAGGAUUACCAAUACAUUCUGUCUGAAAUUAUGAUAGGAAUUAAAUUUAAAUGACAUUGUAUUGACUAAAAAUAAAUGAGAUGAA